rnacentral:lncRNA from 1 species
GUUAAUGAUAUAUCUGUCUAAGAAAUUCCGAUUUUCUUGUUCGACGUGGUAUAAUUAUUAAAUGUUUGAAUUAAGUCGACCUCUGACUUGUUCAAGAUGUCGACUAACAAAUGAAAGACAAAGUAUACUUUUGCAGUUAAUUUUAAGGUGGAUCUCUGUUGGAAAUGCAUUGUCAGACGAACUCCCGGUAGAUGUCGUAUACAAGAAUUUAAUAACGUAAUAAUAUUAGUACCGAUUAAUUUAAUAAUUUGAAUGCGCGUCGAAGAUGUAGGGCCUACUUAGCCUGGGACAUUCAACCACUAGGCUAAGCGGUUUAGCCGUAGAAUAGCCCCACGUGCCGUACCGAUCUAACCGUCGGAACACGGGCAAAUGCAGCUGCUACUCGCUUAUCACAAAGACGAUCAGUCAAUAUAUCGUAGCCCAUGAAUAAUGCAUACUCGCAACGUUGGUAUGGAUUUUGUCAAAUGGCUGUUUCAGGUGCAUAGAUUGACAUGCUUUCUGACCGACAUUUUGAUACCUCAUAUGUAUCAAGUAGAAUAUACGACUGUCGAUUCCGCACUCUUUCAUCCCUUUAUGACCACCUAUAAUGGCCAUCUGGAUGCACUUGCUUUUAUUGGCCAUAACACUUCUCUCCUCUUACGGUUGACAAAGUUUUAUUAUUAGUUACAAAAGCUAGACUCCCAUGACAUACCAUAAAUUUCUCAAGAAAACAGACUGAGUGACCAGUGGUUAUCUUAAUUAGCGUGUUUAUAAUUUUCAUUAAGGGAGAAUAAUUUUUAUAUCAUAUAGUUUAUACCGACAUUAUUAUUUAUGUGUAGUCACUAUGGCUAAAGCUUCGCGGAGGCCUAGUACACCGCCCAUAACGCGUGACACUUGAACUUGACCCCAAUCUGGGCUGUAUAAGACUGUCUACCGGUUUUAGAGAAACAUCUCCAGCCGAUUUUCCUGACUGCCCCAUAGAUUCGGGAUCCGCAAUACAUGAUUCAGAAUUGCCGUCGAAAAAAGCAAACUCAGGGGGAUGUAAAUUAUCUUUUAAAUGACUGACCCGUAAUUGAUUUAUAUGGAUCUUUUUAAUGAUAUUGCUGGGGCUAACCCUUACUACAUAUAAGCAUCUGCUUAAGCACUUAUAAAUUCUACCAGUAACCCAUUUUACUGGGCCUUUUUCCUCCCUGCGACUGACCAAGACAGGAUCCUUAACUUUAAAGUUUUGUGGAGUGAUGUUACUGUUGCCUGGCGAUAACCUUGAGGCUUUAUUAA